rnacentral:rRNA from 1 species
UGGCGGCCUUAGCGCGGUGGUCCCACCUGACCCCAUGCCGAACUCAGAAGUGAAACGCCGUAGCGCCGAUGGUAGUGUAGUAGGGAACUGCCAGGCA